AAAAAAAAAGGAAUCCGCCUUCCAAGUCAGGUGACCCUCACCCGAUUACUUAGCCAAACGACUAUGAAACCACUAAGAAUAUUGUAUAUUCACCAUAAUUUUUGGCAUGAUAUGGAUCAGGGUCACUAACAAGUUCGUUUGUCGUGUGUAAACAGAUAACAAGAUUAAUGUGAUUAUGCCUGAAUGAAAAAGGGACGAAAAAUGGGAUGAGUAAGUU
rnacentral:lncRNA from 1 species